UGCCGCGUGUGUGAAGAAGGCUCUAGGGUUGUAAAGCACUUUCAGUGGGGAGGAAAAGUUUAAGAUUAAUACUCUUGAACCUUGACGUUACCUGCAGAAGAAGCACCGGCAAACUCCGUGCCAGCAGCCGCGGUAAU
rnacentral:rRNA from 1 species